rnacentral:pre_miRNA from 12 species
UGUAGACAUCCUAUACUCAGCUAUAACAAAUGGUGGGGCUGGGGGAUGGAUGUUUACU